UAGGUUCAUAUGAUGAUUAAAAGGGAAUGCAGUGUGAAUCUGCAACAGCCCUCGCUACUGUAAGAAGGACAUCUUUCCAUAGGACACUGGGAGACUGGGAAGUCGGAGAAGAUGGUUGAGAUCGAGUCAGGAGACCUGCCAUGCAUGG
rnacentral:ncRNA from 1 species